rnacentral:snoRNA from 1 species
CAUGUCUCUUUCUAAACUCUCUUUGAGGAUUCAAGUAUUGAAGAUCGAGUUGGAAGUACCUAUUAUGGUAUGAAUAGAGACUAGAAAAAAUUAAUUGCGCUGUUGAGUACGAUUGCUCCUUAUGGGGUACUCGUAAUUUUAUGGGCAAACAAGU